rnacentral:rRNA from 1 species
CCUACGGGAGGCAGCAGUGGGGAAUAUUGGACAAUGGGCGCAAGCCUGAUCCAGCCAUGCCGCGUGGGUGAAGAAGGCCUUCGGGUUGUAAAGCCCUUUUGUUGGGAAAGAAAAGCAGUCGGUUAAUACCCGAUUGUUCUGACGGUACCCAAAGAAUAAGCACCGGCUAACUUCGUGCCAGCAGCCGCGGUAAUACGAAGGGUGCAAGCGUUACUCGGAAUUACUGGGCGUAAAGCGUGCGUAGGUGGUUUGUUAAGUCUGAUGUGAAAGCCCUGGGCUCAACCUGGGAAUUGCAUUGGAUACUGGCAGGCUAGAGUGCGGUAGAGGGUAGUGGAAUUCCCGGUGUAGCAGUGAAAUGCGUAGAGAUCGGGAGGAACAUCCGUGGCGAAGGCGACUACCUGGACCAGCACUGACACUGAGGCACGAAAGCGU